CAGUCGACGGUGAGCCCAGCUUGCUGGGUGGAUCAGUGGCGAACGGGUGAGUAACACGUGAGUAACCUGCCCCUGACUCUGGGAUAAGCCUUGGAAACGAGGUCUAAUACCGGAUACGUGACGCUCAGGCAUCUGAUGCGUCUGGAAAGAUUUAUCGGUCAGGGAUGGACUCGCGGCCUAUCAGCUUGUUGGUGGGGUAACGGCCUACCAAGGCGACGACGGGUAGCCGGCCUGAGAGGGCGACCGGCCACACUGGGACUGAGACACGGCCCAGACUCCUACGGGAGGCAGCAGUGGGGAAUAUUGCACAAUGGGCGCAAGCCUGAUGCAGCGACGCCGCGUGAGGGAUGAAGGCCUUCGGGUUGUAAACCUCUUUCAGCAGGGAAGAAGCGCAAGUGACGGUACCUGCAGAAGAAGCGCCGGCUAACUACGUGCCAGCAGCCGCGGUAAUACGUAGGGCGCAAGCGUUGUCCGGAAUUAUUGGGCGUAAAGAGCUCGUAGGCGGUUUGUCGCGUCUGCUGUGAAAACUCGAGGCUCAACCUCGGGCUUGCAGUGGGUACGGGCAGACUAGAGUGCGGUAGGGGAGACUGGAAUUCCUGGUGUAGCGGUGGAAUGCGCAGAUAUCAGGAGGAACACCGAUGGCGAAGGCAGGUCUCUGGGCCGCAACUGACGCUGAGGAGCGAAAGCAUGGGGAGCGAACAGGAUUAGAUACCCUGGUAGUCCAUGCCGUAAACGUUGGGCACUAGGUGUGGGGCUCAUUCCACGAGUUCCGUGCCGCAGCAAACGCAUUAAGUGCCCCGCCUGGGGAGUACGGCCGCAAGGCUAAAACUCAAAGAAAUUGACGGGGGCCCGCACAAGCGGCGGAGCAUGCGGAUUAAUUCGAUGCAACGCGAAGAACCUUACCAAGGCUUGACAUACACCGGAAACUUCCAGAGAUGGUUGCC
rnacentral:rRNA from 1 species